AAUUGACGUUUCAUACUAGGGCGAGGGGUGUUGAAACGCAUGGAAAAGCAGGAAGAAACACGGACGAGCGCUGAUGAACUGCAACUGUGUGCGUGCAACAGCACCAAACGGCAUGUGGCGACGUACAGUGUAUGGAUGUGUGUGUGUUAUUUUAGGCAGCGAAGAUGGAUCGAGGUUAUGUUUACAAAGUGAAAGAGUUUGAUGCAGAAGCGUCUUCGUGAUAAACAUGUAUUUUAGUUGCAUAAUUUCAGUGUUAAAGUUUGUAAUGUGAACUUAAAAGUAAUGACCAUAGGUGCUAUUCACUUGUGUGCUGUUGGCGAAUAUUGAAGCGUUGAAAUAUUUAAGCUUCAUAUGUUUGUUUGUUGUGCUUAGUGUGAAGCAAAAAUGUGUGCUAAAGUGUUAUAAAAUAGAAAUAUGUAUACGUAUCCGUCUAAUGUUCGGUUGUACCUAUCUAAUUUUCCAUAUUUUUGGGUGUCCUUAUCCUUUACCAGGAGAAAACUAUAGAUGGAGGUUAGAUACGUGCAGCUAUUUGCCUCCGCAGGAAGGUAUGUUAAUUAAAGUUGUUGUAUUUGUAAUUUUUCAUUACGCUGCAAUUAAAUAACUUAUCGUAUAAAAUUUGCCGUUUAACAUUAUGAAUAAUCGAUGUUAUCAGUGUUCUUCAGAAGUGUUCCAAGCUGUCCGAAGACACACAAAUCCGCAAUCCACAAUCCAAGCACACAAAUCCAAUUCACCUCGUAUGCACCCAGCGGAUUUCAUGCGAAGGAUAUUGGAAAGCCAUCAAAGAAGUGGGCAUGAUGGUAAGGAAACUUUGAUUCUUUUUACUUUUAGAUUUCUUAUCCUUAUUUUUGUUUACAACAACCUGAGAUCGUCGGUGCGGGCCUUAUGGGAACUGCGCGGUCAGAGCAAUAACCGGAUGAGCAUUUCGUUUCAGGUGGAAAUUAUAUCAAGUUUGUGAAUUGAAGAGAGUUACGGCACAUUGUGCCACACUAAAUAAAUUUAUUUUUAUUUCUUCCUUCUAUGGCAGCUUGUUUUAACAUUUCCCUGUAUGUUUACUCUUGCCGGUGCUUGUGUCAGUUUUCAUUUUAAAUAUUCUUUAUCAUAUUCUUUAUCUAUGUCUAUUCCCACGUGGUUUGUGGCGAUAGACUUAAAUAAGCACUGUAUUUGGGUAGUUACUAAAAGCUAUUUUUUCCUGACGAUCCUUCCCAGCUACACCGUGCAAGAAAAGUCCCAUCAAACAACACGUCUUAAGCCUCAUGCAUCCUGUUGUUGGCAUCCUGGCGGCUGAUAUCUGCAUCUAUUAUUUAAGUAUAACUGCAAAAUGCAAAAUCAUCUCCAGCUAUUUUUGCUUCAAAUGCAUCAAACUUUUGUUCAUUUUCGAUUUUUUCUAUUGCUAAACUCUGCGCAUUUCUUCUCAUACCCUUCAUAGGAUUCAGUAUUGUGGACUGCUAAUUUAAAAUAACCAUAAUCUGUGCGCUGCGUGCAUCUAUUUUCAUUAACAGCAUCCGACAACGAAGGCAGCAGCUUCCAGAAUGCUCUGUAGAAGUAAUUGAAAGGACUGCUUGAUUUGCUCCUGCUGCAGCCUGGUGUUCAUAGUCGGUGAUCAUCAUUAUUGGUGAUGAAGGCAGCACAGGCAAAUUUAUCACAAUAGGACCAGUUGCUCGUUCAGUCGUUAUGUACGAUGUACCGGUGCUUGUCGAUGGCACUUGGUUACCACCAUCAACUAUCUUGCCUGGCGGACGGAUCUGGCUAGGAACACAGCUCACAAUACAAACAGAUCCUCUAGCAGCCGCUAUCACCGAUGCAGAAGCACUGGUGGGUAAUUGUUGUCUUACAACAGCGGACAUCAUACCACGCUGAUUCUUCGGAGCAUGAACUUCGACAAGCGAUGCAAUCGAUGGUACUGCAGAUCCCGCCAAUGCCUGUUGUCUACCGAUCUUCAUGCCUGAUUCCUGCGGUAGAGCAUCAGCAACCGGUACCACUGAUGGACGGAACGGACGGAACGGACGGAAUGGUACAGGAACACCAGGUAAUGUUGACCGAUGAUGAUUACCAUCACCGAAACGACCUACU